UGCCGCGUGAAUGAUGAAGGCCCUAGGGUUGUAAAGUUCUUUCAACGGUGAAGAUGAUGACGGUAGCCGUAGAAGAAGCCCCGGCUAACUCCGUGCCAGCAGCCGCGGUAAUACGGAGGGGGCGAGCGUUGUUCGGAAUUACUGGGCGUAAAGGGCGUGUAGGCGGACUGUUAAGUUAGGGGUGAAAUCCCAGGGCUCAACCCUGGAACUGCCUCUAAUACUGGCGGUCUUGAGAUUUGGAGAGGUGUGUGGAAUUCCUAGUGUAGAGGUGAAAUUCGUAGAUAUUAGGAAGAACACCAGUGGCGAAGGCGGCACACUGGCCAACAUCUGACGCUGAGGCGCGAAAGCGUGGGGAGCAAACAGGAUUAGAUACCCUGGUAGUCCACGCCGUAAACGAUGUGUGCUAGCCGUCGGGCAGUUUACUGUUCGGUGGCGCAAGUUAACGCGUUAAGCACACCGCCUGGGGAGUACGGUCGCAAGAUUAAAACUCA
rnacentral:rRNA from 1 species